rnacentral:tRNA from 1 species
GCAUUAAUGGGGUAGCGGUAACCUCGUCCAUUGCCAU